rnacentral:rRNA from 1 species
UACGUAGGUGGCAAGCGUUGUCCGGAUUUACUGGGCGUAAAGAGCGCGCAGGCGGUCGUGCAAGUCGCGUGUGAAAGCCCCCGGCUCAACUGGGGAGGGUCACGCGAUACUGCUCGACUCGAAGGCAGGAGAGGGAAGUGGAAUUCCCGGUGUAGUGGUGAAAUGCGUAGAUAUCGGGAGGAACACCAAUGGCGAAGGCAGCUCGCUGGGACGGUGCUGACGCUGAGACGCGAAAGCGUGGGGAGCAAACAGG